ACGUUAAAGUGUGACGGCGUACUUUUUGUAGAACGGUCCGGCGAGUGUAUGUAUGUAGCAAGGUUAAGAGCUUAAGGUUCGAAGCCGCAGGGAGACCGAGUCUGAAUAGGGCGAAAGAGUUGCAUGUAUACGACCCGAAACCGAGUGACCUACCCAUGGACAGGUUGAAGCUAGAGUAAAAUCUGGUGGAGGACCGAACCCACGUAUGUUGAAAAAUGCGGGGAUGAGCUGUGGGUAGCGGAGAAAUUCCAAUCGAACUCGGAUAUAGCUGGUUCUCCCCGAAAUAGCUUUAGGGCUAGCCUCGGAUUAGUUUAGCGGAGGUAAAGCACUGAAUGGGCUAGGGGGCGUAUAGCUUACUGAACCCUAUCAAACUCAGAAUGCCGCAAAAAUGAUGUCCGGGAGUCAGACUACGGGAGAUAAGUUUCGUGGUCGAAAGGGAAACAGCCCAGACCCACAGCUAAGGUCCCAAAAUAGGUUUAAGUGGAAAAGGAUGUCUAGUUGCAGAGACAACUAGGACGUUGGCUUAGAAGCAGCCAUACAUUUAAAGAGUGCGUAAUAGCUCACUAGUCGAGUGAAUAGGCGCCGAAAAUUUAACGGGGCUAAAACCUAUACCGAAGCUUGGGAAUUUGCAUAACUAUUAGAACACAUAUGAGAAAGAGAAAGAAAACCGGCUGUGAAGCAGACGGGAAAUUGAAGUAAGGAAAAAAGGAAUGUGUGAUCUAAUAGUUAUGCAAGUUGGUAGGGGAGCAUUCUAUUAUAGGGAGAAGCAUGACCGGAAGGACAUGUGGACGAGAUAGAAGAGAGAAUGCCGGAAUGAGUAGCGAGAAUUAUGUGAGAAUCAUAAUGGUCGAAAAUCUAAGGUUUCUUGAGGAAGGUUCGUCCGCUCAAGGUAAGCCGGGAGCUAAGGCGAGGCCGAAAGGCGUAGUCGAUGCACAUACGGUAGAAAUUCCGUAGCCACCGAAAUUGUUAAGCACAGGGACGCAGGAACAUAAUCCAACCGCACCGAUGGUCGAGUGCGGCGAAAGGGAGCGAAAAUUAAGUAGCGAAGUGGAUGAUUGUACACUGACGAGAAAAGCUGUGUGGAUUGAUGAGGUGCCCGUACCGUAAACCGACACAGGUGGGUGAGGAGAGAAUCCUAAGACCAGCGGGAGAAGUGUUGUUAAGGAACUCGGCAAAUUGACCCCGUAACUUCGGGAAAAGGGGUGCCUGCUAGCGCAGGCCGCAGAGAAUAGGCCCAAGCGACUGUUUAGCAAAAACACAGGUCUCUGCUAAAUCGAAAGAUGAAGUAUAGGGGCUGACGCCUGCCCGGUGCCGGAAGGUUAAGAGGAGGACUUAGCGCAAGCGAAGGUCUGAAUUGAAGCCCCGGUAAACGGCGGCCGUAACUAUAACGGUCCUAAGGUAGCGAAAUUCCUUGUCAGGUAAGUUCUGACCCGCACGAAUGGCGUAACGAUUUGGGCACUGUCUCAACAGCCCGCCCGGCGAAAUUGUAGUACCGGUGAAGAUGCCGGUUACCCGCGACUAGACGGAAAGACCCCAUGGAGCUUUACUGUAACUUGAUAUUGGAUUUUGGUAUUGCAUGUACAGGAUAGGUGGGAGACUGAGAAGCACAGACGCCAGUUUGUGUGGAGUCAAUGUUGGGAUACCACUCUUGUGAUACUGGAAUUCUAACCUGCGGCCGUGAAACCGGUCGGGGGACAAUGUCUGGUGGACAGUUUGACUGGGGCGGUCGCCUCCUAAAGAGUAACGGAGGCGUUCAAAGGUUAGCUCAGUACGGUCAGAAAUCGUACGAAGAGUGCAAACGCAAAAGCAAGCCUAACUGCGAGACGAACAGGUCGAGCAGUAACGAAAGUUGGAGUUAGUGAUCCGGCGGUAAGAGAGUGGAAUUGCCGUCGCUCAACGGAUAAAAGCUACCCUGGGGAUAACAGGCUGAUCUCCCCCAAGAGUCCAUAUCGACGGGGAGGUUUGGCACCUCGAUGUCGGCUCAUCGCAUCCUGGAGCUGGAGUCGGUUCCAAGGGUUGGGCUGUUCGCCCAUUAAAGCGGUACGCGAGCUGGGUUCAGAACGUCGCGAGACAGUUCGGUCCCUAUCUGUCGCGGGCGCAGGAAAUUUGAAGGGAGCUGUCCUUAGUACGAGAGGACCGGGAUGGACGUACCACUGGUGUACCAGUUGUCUUGCCAAAGGCACGGCUGGGUAGCUAAGUACGGAAGGAAUAAACGCUGAAGGCAUCUAAGCGUGAAGUCCCCCCUAAGAUAAGAUUUCCCAUUCU
rnacentral:rRNA from 1 species